CCAGGACAGAAGUGGACGAACACGUCUGUCACUGGCGAGAGGAUACUUCAAUCAUAGCGAAGAAGGGUGAAAUAUACGAAGCACAUUCUUCUGUUACGACUUGACCCUCUCUAUGAAACUUUAUAGAAUUCACCAAUUCUUCAUCCAGCAGCUUCCUGGGAGUUGGAGAAGAAGGCUGAGCUUCCUGUUGGUUAAUGGGGUGCGAAAUGUGAAACCUACCAUCCUCACUGCUACUCCCUGUAUCGAAAGACGAAGCUAUUUAGUUACGGCUCAAGUGCAAGCAGGCUUCUCCCAUUCAUUAGAGGUUCAGAACUGGACCAUCGGCAAGCACCAGUAACGUAGUAAAAUACACAUAAAAUAAAGAGAA